rnacentral:lncRNA from 1 species
AGAGUCCAGCAAGGAGGGCUGGGAUUCACACUGAGCACGUGUGCCUGCCUCGGCUUGGGCUGUUUUCUGGGAUGGACUACCUGAAAUUCAUCGCGUCCACAUCCAUAUGUGUGAAAGUGCAUGAGGAGGACAUGGAAUGAUGCCACAUAUCUUGCUACAAAUUGCUGCAGUGUUGUUGCAUAUAUGCUUUUCUAGUAAGAUCAGAUGACCCUGAGAUUCUACCAUACACCAAUUAGAAUUGCAAAGAUCAAGAACUCAAGUGACAACACAUGGUGACAAGGGUGUGGAGAAAGAGUUACACUCCACUCUUGCUGGUGGGAUUGCAAACUGGUACAACCACUCUGAAAAUCAAUCUGGCAGUACCUCAGAAAAUUGGAAAUAAUUCUACAUGAAGACCCAGAUAUUCCACUACUGGGCAUAUACACAAAAGAAGAUACACAAUAACAUAAGGACACAUGCUCCACUAUGUCCAUAGCUGCCAUAUUUGUAUUAGCUAGAAGCCGGAAACAAUCCAGAUGUUCUUCAACCAAGGAAUGGAUGUAGAAAAAAUGUGGUUCAAUAACACAAUGGAAUACUGCUCAUCUAUUAAAACUGAGGACAUCAUGAAAUUUGCAGGCAAAUGGAGAGAACUAGAAAAUGUCAUCCUGAGUGAGGAACCCAGGCUCAAAAGGACAUACAUGUUAUGUCCUCAUUGAUAAGUAGUUAUUUGGCAAAAAGAUCAGAAUACCAUUAUACACAACUCACAGAUCACAUAAAAUUUAAUUAGAAGGAAUGCCAAAUUGUGGAUACUUCAACUCCACAUAGAAGGAGAAACAAAAUAAUCCCAGGACGCAGAAGAAGGGAGGGAUGUGGAUAAAAGAGGGAGAAUCAGGGACAAUCGGUGGCAGGAUCAGGUAUAUGGGGAGACAGGAGAGAAGGCCAGAGGGCCAGGAGUAUUAAUAGAAACAUACAACCGUGUGGGAAUGAAGAGCAGGGUAAAUAUCUAGAAAGUCCCAGACAAGAUGGAUGUGGAAGUCUCCCAAACCUCAUCGGGGAUGACCUUAGCCGAAAUGUCCAAGAGUGGGUAGACAGAACCUAAAUAGAAUAUCUCCAGCAGAGUGCAUGGCCCCCAUUUGAGUCAUGGGGGCAUCUGACCAUCUUCAAAACUUGGACCCAGAAUUGUUCAUAUCUAAUGAUAUGUAGUGACAAAAGUGGAGCAGAGACUGAAGAAAAUGCCAUCCACUGCCUUGAUCAAUCCAUCCUAUGGGCAGAAAAACAAAACAAAACAAAACAAAACAAAACAAAACAAAACAAAACCUUGACACUAUUACUGAAGCCAUGUUGUGCUCAGAAAGAGCCUGACAUGACUGUCCUCUGACAGACUCUAUCAGGAGCUUAUUGACACUGUUGCAGAUAUGUAGAGUCAACCAUUGAGCUGAAGUCCAGGAGUGUUUUGCUGUUUAAGCCAUAUUUAUACAACCACAACUUAAAGACACGUAAAAUUUUUUAAAAAUGCUAAAAUAUCGCUUGAGAUUCAAUAUAAAUUCAAACAGUCUUUAAGAGAAUAAUAUUUAAAGACAUCAUGGGGAUGCAUAAUCUCCAUAAUAUCCAAUAAUCUUGACUAGGAAAGUGAUAAAAUAGAAGAGUUAGAAACCAUGGAUAGAUGUGAAUAAUACAAGCUUUGUUCCAACCACCAGGGAAAUAUAACCAUGAU